rnacentral:rRNA from 1 species
UGACCUCGGAUCAGGUAGGAUUACCCGCUGAACUUAAGCAUAUCAAUAAGCGGAGGAAAAGAAACCAACAGGGAUUGCCCCAGUAACGGCGAGUGAAGCGGCAACAGCUCAGAUUUGGAAUCUGGCCUUCGGGCCCGAGUUGUAAUCUGGAGAGGAUGCUUCUGGCGCGGUGCCUUCCGAGUUCCCUGGAACGGGACGCCGGAGAGGGUGAGAGCCCCGUACGGUUGGACACCUAGCCUCUGUGAAGCUCCUUCGACGAGUCGAGUAGUUUGGGAAUGCUGCUCAAAAUGGGAGGUAAAUUUCUUCUAAAGCUAAAUAUUGGCCAGAGACCGAUAGCGCACAAGUAGAGUGAUCGAAAGAUGAAAAGCACUUUGAAAAGAGAGUUAAAAAGUACGUGAAAUUGUUGAAAGGGAAGCGCCUGUGGCCAGACUUGCGCCGCGCGGACCACCCAGCGUUCUCGCUGGUGCACUCCGCGGUGGCGCAGGCCAAGCAUCGGUUUUUCUAGGGGGAUAAAGGUCGCGGGAACGUAGCUUCCUCCGGGAGUGUUAUAGCCCGUGGCGUCAUGCCCUUGGGGGGACCGAGGACCGCGCUUCGGCAAGGAUGCUGGCGUAAUGGCCACCGGCGACCCGU